rnacentral:rRNA from 1 species
ACGGGGGGAGGAAAGUAGGGGAUCGCAAGACCUCGCGCUAUUGGAGUGGCCGAUGUCCGAUUAGCUAGUUGGUAGGGUAAUGGCCUACCAAGGCGACGAUCGGUAGCUGGUCUGAGAGGAUGAUCAGCCACACUGGGACUGAGACACGGCCCAGACUCCUACGGGAGGCAACAGUGGGGAAUUUUGGACAAUGGGCGCAAGCCUGAUCCAGCCAUGCCGCGUGAGUGAAGAAGGCCUUCGGGUUGUAAAGCUCUUUCGGCCGGAACGAAAUCGUCCGGGCUAAUACCCCGGAUGGAUGACGGUACCGGAAGAAGAAGCACCGGCUAACUACGUGCCAGCAGCCGCGGUAAUACGUAGGGUGCAGGCGUUAAUCGGAAUUACUGGGCGUAAAGCGUGCGCAGGCGGCUUCCUAAGUCAGAUGUGAAAUCCCCGGGCUUAACCUGGGAACUGCGUUUGAAACUACAAAGCUAG